AAAGGAAGGCUUGUGGUGAGGGAGAGGGACAGAAGGUCAAAUAUAAAUAAAGUAGUGGGAGAAGACUUACUAGAAUCAAUGUUUAUUCAUGAAGACUUACUAGGAAACAGAUAUUUUUGACUAAUUGUUACUAGGAAUGCAAAUAUAGGCUUGCACGUAUUUGAGGAGCCCCCUGAGUUGGUGCGGUCUAUCAUCCUUCUAGAUAUCACUGGAGCCCAUCUCCAAGAAGGUGUUACAUAAGUUCUUUUAUUUCCAAAUAAAAAAUCAAAAUUAAUCUAGAAAGAAAGAUGAAGAGGAGACUUCAUUCUUCAUAUCUUCACCAUUACUAAAAGAAUAACAGUAUGUUGCUUCCGUGCAUAUAUAUUUGGGUUGCAUCAUCUGACACCAACAGCAGCUAUGCAUAUGCAUAUGCCUAUGUCACACUCAAUCUAUAAUCAAAUUUUUUUGUCUACAAUACACAUCCUAUCUGCCACAUGGCCGAAACGUGUAAGCAUUUGUAUAAUCAAAAGAAUCCACAUGUCAAACAUAUAUUUUGAUGGGAGACAACGGAAGUACUUGAAUAUUCAUCUGCAAAAGCAGUAGUAGUUUACAGAUAACCAAGCACUGUCUUCCACACUAAAACUAGGUUUAGAGUAGAAACUAAAAAGAUGCAGUCAAUGAUGGAAGCAGUAGCCGAUGCGGGGAAGGCCUCCAUACAGGAAAAGGUGAAGAAGAGCAGAGAACCUACUGAGAAAGAGAUGGGGAGAGAGAGGAAAGAAGAGACCCUCAAUCAAAAGGCAACUGCUUGGCAAGCGGGUUUUGCUGCAGGUGGUCUCGACGGAGGCGACGUCAACCGUGAGAAGACUGGGUGUCAAUAGAUCUCGAGGAUUUGAGGAGUGAAUCAAUAUUCAGAACUCAACUGACGACUUAGCAAACUUAAGCAUUUUGUUAUGUUAUUAGUAGAUAGCUUUUGCCUAUGGUUGAGUUAGAAUUUUAAGCUCAAAUUGUUUUUUGAUAUAUAUGAUGAAAUGGGUAUAUUUUGGGUGUGAUCAAAUAUGUCGAUGAUAAGUAUGUAGGAACAUUUAGUGAGUAAUGUCCAAUUGCCAUUAAGUCAGGUUGCAUUCAUGAUUGAAUUGUCUCUUGUUAGCUAAGUAACUUAAUAAAAUACGUUCCUGAAAUAUGGAUAGAUGUUUGAUUCAUUAGGGAUGUUAAUACGACAUUUGAACUAAUGCCUAAAUUGCACUGCUACUUAGUUUCUAGGUCACUUAGAUCAUUUGGUAUUAAGAUCUGGUAGAUUGAAUUGAUUGAUGCAAAGAUCGGGGAUAAUUGCCUUCGAAGUCGCAAAACUACCCCUUUUAAUGUCGCGACAUCGAGCUUUUGUCUUUAAAGUCGUGAUUCUCCCUUGUUGCGGUCGUGCAUUGAAUCCCCCAGUCCUCCAGGUCACAACGUCCCCUAUUGAAGUUGCGAUGUCAAUCUCUUGUCUUCAAGGUCGCGACUCAUCUUGAUCGAAGUCGUGAUGUCGAGCUUCUACCUUCAAUGUCGCGACAUGAUUUCUCUCAUGGUCGUGACGUGAAAAUUUUACAGUUUAGUCCGUCAAUCAUUAUCAUAUUUAUAUAAGAACUUUCGUAAGCUUGUUUAA